rnacentral:rRNA from 1 species
UACGGAGGGUGCGAGCGUUGUUCGGAAUCACUGGGCGUAAAGCGCGUGUAGGCGGCCCACUAAGUCUGAUGUGAAAGCCCGGGGCUCACCCCCGGAAGUGCAUUGGAAACUGGUGGACUCGAGUCCCGGAGAGGAGAGUGGAAUUCCGUGGUGUAGCGGUGAAAUGCGUAGAUAUCAGGAGGAACACCUGGUGGCGAAGGCGGAC